CACCGCCACGGUAAUACAGAGGGUGCGAGCGUUAAUCGGAUUUACUGGGCGUAAAGCGUGCGUAGGCGGCUUUUUAAGUCGGAUGUGAAAUCCCUGAGCUUAACUUAGGAAUUGCAUUCGAUACUGGGAAGCUAGAGUAUGGGAGAGGAUGGUAGAAUUCCAGGUGUAGCGGUGAAAUGCGUAGAGAUCUGGAGGAAUACCGAUGGCGAAGGCAGCCAUCUGGCCUAAUACUGACGCUGAGGUACGAAAGCAUGGGGAGCAAACAGGAUUAGAUACCCCGGUAGUCCCUGUCUUAUACACU
rnacentral:rRNA from 1 species